rnacentral:snRNA from 1 species
AUCCGAAACUCAAUGGGAUCAACA